AGCUCCAAUAGCGUAUAUUAAAGUUGUUGCAGUUAAAAAGCUCGUAGUUGAACUUUGGGUUUCGACGGGCGGUCCACCUAUGGUGCGUACUGCUCUGUUGGGAUCUUUCCUUCUGGCUAGCCUUUUGGCGAACCAGGACGUUUACUUUGAGAAAAUUAGAGUGUUCAAAGCAGGCCUUUGCUCGAAUAUAUUAGCAUGGAAUAAUAGAAUAGGACGUAUGGUUCUAUUUUGUUGGUUUCUAGGACCAUCGUAAUGAUUAAUAGGGACGGUCGGGGGCAUCAGUAUUCAGUCGUCAGAGGUGAAAUUCUUGGAUUGACUGAAGACUAACUACUGCGAAAGCAUUUGCCAAGGACGUUUUCA
rnacentral:rRNA from 1 species